rnacentral:rRNA from 1 species
UUAACACAUGCAAGUCGUACGAGAAAUCUCCUGCUUGCAGGAGAGAGUAAAGUGGCGAACGGGUGAGUAACGCGUGGGUAAUCUACCCCCGAAUUUGGGAUAACAUUGCGAAAGCGAUGCUAAUACCGGAUGGCCUCUUGCAACUCAGGUUGUCAAGAUUAAAGGUGGCCUCUACAUGUAAGCUACCGUUUGGGGAUGAGCCCGCGUGCCAUUAGCUUGUUGGUGGGGUAACGGCCUACCAAGGCAACUAUGGCUAGCUGGUCUGAGAGGAUGAUCAGCCACACUGGAACUGAGAUACGGUCCAGACUCCUACGGGAGGCAGCAGUGAGGAAUCUUGCGCAAUGGGGGAAACCCUGACGCAGCAACGCCGUGUGAGUGAUGAAGGCUUUCGAGUCGUAAAGCUCUGUCAAGUGGGAAGAACCUGCCGGAUGUUAAUACCAUCAGGCACUGACGGUACCACUGGAGGAAGCACCGGCUAACUCCGUG